rnacentral:rRNA from 1 species
UACGUAGGGUGCAAGCGUUGUCCGGAAUUACUGGGCGUAAAGCGUGCGCAGGCGGUUCGUUGUGUCGGCGGGGAAAGCCCCGGGCUCAACCUGGGAAUGGCCGUUGAAACUGGCGAACUGGAGUGUGGCAGAGGGGGGUGGAAUUCCGCGUGUAGCAGUGAAAUGCGUAGAGAUGCGGAGGAACACCGAUGGCGAAGGCAGCCCCCUGGGCUGACACUGACGCUCAGGCACGAAAGCGUGGGGAGCAAACAGG